GUAAAGACUGGGAACGGGAAGAGUAGGCGGUCAGCCCUUCAGAGAGCGGAAUGCAAGUGCUGUGACAUUCCGUAGGAUACAGCCACCGAAGUCGCCCCGGAGUCGCCCUUCUGAGCUUGUCUUCAUGGAUAUGAAAGAUAAGUUAGGAUGUGGCCGGUAGCAGCCGUUAUCUGUACGAGUGUCGCGCUAAGCUUCUGAACCGCAAGGUGAGAGAAGUGCAGGUUUAUUUUUCAUUGGCGCGAAACAAAGGUGGUACCGCGAAAGAAUGGCCUUUCGUCCUUUGA
rnacentral:ncRNA from 1 species